UCACGCCCGAUAAUACAUUGGUGUAGGUUGGGAACGCUCCCAAUUUUGGCUUUCAAAAUGGCGCCACCAUUCACUGCAGAACAGUGGAUUUCCCACGCGAGCUGGAUGUCAACUUGAUUUAAUCAGCAAUGCAGCGUUGUGAAUAACAAGCUUGGAGCCCACGUGUUGAGACUUCGAGCCGGGGGAUCAGGAUUAGCGAUGAGUUUCAUUCAAACCGUGCUUCAGACUGAAUUCGUAAAAGGGACUGGCUGCAGCCUGGAAAAUAAAAGAAUGUAGCUCAACCUUGUA